CUGUCAUCCAUGGGAGGCAGCAGAUUGGAGCGGAGAGCCAGGCACUUGGGAUGAGGAAGCUGAACACUAGAUCUUGAAAUGACUUUUUGAAGUCCCACAACUUUGGACUAACAUGAUUGAAACCAGAAACCAGAUCUUGUGGUUCUCAGAACAAUCAUCUUCCUAUGUCGUCAAAGAAUUGAGAAGUGGAUGGAACGUUAAAAUGCAGAAACGAAGCCACUGUGUGAGAGGGAGUCAGUGUGAAACUAAGUAAGACUCUAGGCUUUGGACAUGCCUCUGAAUCUUCCAGCUAUGUGCCACCAGACUGUGAGCUCCAGAAGACCAACACUCUCACUCACUCGGUAUUCCCAGCACCUGGCACAGAGCCAAUACUGAGUAUGAGCCGAUCAUCCUGCUGACAGUAUAAAGGAACGACAGAGGAAAAGGGGAAGUCGGGGAAGUGGGGCUGGUUUCUGGGCAGAAGGAGCAGGUGCCAGGAGAGUGGGAACAAUAACAAGUGGGUGAGUUGGGGUUGGAGGAGAUGAGUGGAGAGUGAGGAGUGGUAAUGGAGAUGUGUGGUUGGGCAGAAGCUGGGGGUUGGGGUCCCACCAUCUCUACUGAUGCUCCACCCCAACGCCUGGAAGAAGACUAGACUCUAGUUCCUGCGCUGUGACUUCCGUGUUCCCCUCAAAUCUCAUUGCCAUCAAUGGCAUGGGAUUCAUCACACCUCUCACUCAGGGUCAUGGCGAGAUUGAAAUGGAACAAUGCAAUGUGAAGACACUGCAUGAAUAAGAGGCACCAGCAUAUGGAGAGGGGAAAGCUGGCCCCUAGGGCGUGGAGUCAGCACACAGCUGGGACCAGAACCCAGGUGCCUGGACUGCUAAUCAAGGGCCCUCCCAAAACAUGGGGUUGCCCCCAUGGGAGCUCUAGAGUGAGGAACCUUGGAUUUUAAGCAAUGCAAAGGAAUUCUUCGUAUGCUCCCACACAAAGCCCAUACUCACGGCCAGCUCCGAGGCAAGCCGAUUGGAUGCUGAGGAACAGGAA
rnacentral:lncRNA from 1 species